UCUGGAUCAGAGGGAGUAUA
rnacentral:miRNA from 2 species